rnacentral:rRNA from 1 species
CUGAAAACCUAGCUUACUCCAUUCUUAUGAAUAUACCACCUUAACACAUACUAAAUAAAACAUUUUGUACAUUAAGUAAAGGCGAUUAAAAAAUGUCUUAAAGCUAUAGAAAUUAGUACCGCAAGGGAAAAGUGAAAUAUUAAUGAAAAACCUCAAGCACAAAAAAGUAGAGCUACAACCUCGUACCUUUUGCAUCAUGGUCUAACUAGUUCAACCAAGCAAAAUGAAUUUUAAGUUUGACUUCCCGAAACUAGGUGAGCUACUUAAAAACAGCCUUACGGGCCAACCCGUCUCUGUUGCAAAAGAGUGGGAAGAUUUUUAAGUAGAGGUGACAGACCUACCGAACCUAGAGAUAGCUGGUUAUUCAGGAAAAGGAUUUAAGUCCUACCUUAAGUUUAUUGUAUAAAAUAAUACACAACUAACUU